rnacentral:tmRNA from 2 species
GGGGCUGAACGGUUUCGACUUUGGACGACUGAUCCAGGAGAAGCGGGCCGAGGAGCCAGGGUCAUCUCGUAAACGAUCCUUGGAAACCAACAAGUGCCAACGCUAAGCGCACUGACUUCGCUCUCGCUGCCUGAGGCAGCCAGCGAAGGGUCAGCCUGGGAGUGCCUCCGUCCCAGUAGCUGGCCUCAUCUAGGAGGCUCACCGAUCAGAUCCGGCCGCGGGGCCUGAUCGGGACACUGACAGCGGCUGAGCCUGUCGGCAACGUGUCUGUGCGAGUGCCGGGGCUGAGAAAAGCGACCAGCGGACUGCGCCCGGAGAAGUCCUGAGUCACCGCCAGAGGACGCGGGUUCGAUUCCCGCCAGCUCCACGU